rnacentral:tRNA from 1 species
UCCUCUGUAGUUCAGUCGGUAGAACGGCGGGCUGUUAAUCUGUAUGUCGCUGGUUUUUGAAUCCAGUCCCAGAGGGAGCCA